UUUCAUAUUAGAGUUUUCGUCUUUUCUGGAUAUAUGGCCAGGAGUGAGAUUGCUGUGUAAGUUGCUAGUGUCAUGGUGGGGGUAUUUUGAGUGGCCAUAGUUUAUCAAAGUAAGAAGCAGAAUUUAGGGAAGAAAGUAAGCUGAGGACUUACUAAGGCUGACAAAGUCUAUAUUUUCUCUCAGUCACAAACCUGGAUAAAUAAUAAAAUGUUAGGUUGAUAAGUAACAAUAAUUUCUUCUUUAAAAGUCCUUGUAUUAAUUACUUGUCUAGUAACUGAAGCACAAUUUUGACAACCUUUGGCAAUUCACCUUUGGAAUGCAUUUUCUGUCUGCUUUGGUCCUUGGAAGUAGCAGAGGACUUGAAUUUAUGACCUUCCUCACUGUGCUUUACCGAAUGAGUCAUUCCUGGUGGGGCGGGGGUGGGGUGGGGGUUUGGGGGGUUGCUCAUGCCAGUUGUCUUCAUUAAAUCUGGAGAAAGUCACCAUCUCCAUGGCUCUGGGGAUUAGAUUCUGCCAUAGUGAGGAAGGAACAGUCUCAGAUCUUGGCUGACCUGAUUCUGCUGAUGACUCAGCUCCGAAGGGCACCUCAUUCCGGAAAGUGAAUCAAGUAAUGACGGGACCUGGAAUUAUUCUGACGUGUCCUUCUACUUCAGAUGAGGACCCUGACCUGGGAUCUCAAGACCCAGGUGACUUCAGGAUGGAGGAUGGAGCCGCUGGAUGUGUCUUCCCCUAUUCAGAUGUUUGAAUAAAGCUUUUUACUUGUCUUCCUCUCCUAGAAAAACAAUUGAAUAUUUUGCCACUUAUAUUUUUCUAAUAUUGUACUUGAGUCAUGCUGCCUUAAUCAUAGUUUAACAAGUUGUUAGAAAUUGUUUUAAACAGGACAAAGUAAAUCCAACUCCAUAUAGAUUGUCUUUCAUUUGCAAAUAUUAGAAUUUGAGUUAAAAAUCAUAUAACUUGAAGCCGUCUACAUAAAAUGAAGUUGUUGGUAUAUUAAAAGUGUCCUUCUUUUCAAGUAUAUUUUAUUUUAGUGUAUUUUAUAAAAACUCCAUAGUCAGUGACUCGAAAGUAACCAUGAAUGUAUUUUUCGUUCCUUAUAUUUUACUGGAAAAAAGUGGUUAAAGUAAUUGUAUAGAUUUUUACCUUAUUCUUUGGUGUCCUGUGUAACUAAUUAUUUGCUUUAGGUACAAAUGACCUACUUGCUAAAGACUGUUCAUUUUCUGCUGGAAUAAAAUACCUUUUCAAUUUA